rnacentral:lncRNA from 1 species
AAGAUGAUGGUUCAUGGCACGGACCUAAGGUGACUGUACCCUCAAAUGUAUCUCCUUAUAAGAUGCACAACAAGACUCCAUCACAUACCGCUCCAUCAAAUCUUUUAGAAAAAGGUGAGUCUCAUUUGUUUUUAGACAUUCCUGAUACUGAACUUGAGGAGAUCAACCCCAGACAUAAUGUCAUGGGUGAGUAUAGAGGAAUUUAUAGGCGACCAAAACCUGGUGUGACUCCUCUUAAACCAAACAAGGAUGCCAAAAAUGCAUCUUUAGAUGAGGAAGAUGAUGCAUGUAGUUAAAUAGGGAUGCAACAUGAAUUCUAAGUCUAUGUUAAAUAAUAGCUUAUGUUAGUGGUAUGUGUUUUAAUCUUUUAGUAUGUUUAAUGUAAUUCUGUUGUGUAACAGGACAUGCAACUGUUGCAUGAUUCCAAUCACAUUUUCUAUUUGUAUUUAUUAUAUUUUGAUUUGUACAAUCAUUUGUGACAUUCUCUUAGCUUCUACAUUUAAAUUUAUCUCAUGCCUCAUUUGCUUUUCAUAGCCACUCUUUUAGUUAAAUUCGUAAUAAAAUCAAACAAACAUAAGAAAAUGUAGAAGAUAUAUGUUAAAUGGAUCUUAAAAAGGCAAAAGACAAAAAACAAAAUUUAUGCAUCAAGUUCUAAAAGGGGACACGUAAACGUACUACAUCAAAAUAUCUCUGAGAUAGGUCCCGGAAACGAUAUGCAAGAUUGUCAGCUGAACCUGUAAGAAUCGAACUAUCAAAGAUGCUAUCAUUGAUAAAAAUUGAGGUAGUAAAUUCACACUCCAAAAUAUAUAUAAAAAAAAAUAUAUCAUACUUACCAUAGAUUUCAAAAGCAAAAGCCAUUUGUCAUGACAAGUUUCAUCGGUCUUCAUCUGUAUCACCACCACUGUACUCAGUAUGCUCACUAUCAUCAUAAGGGAUGUGGGGUUGGAGGCAGUGCUUGAUUAAUUGUGUAUCCAUCAACAUCAGUCCUAACAUUUUCCUCAUCCAAAUCCAUAGAUGCAUCAUCCAUGUUUUGUGCAUUACAUGGAUCAUCAUGGACAUCAAUGAUAAGGUUGUAGAGAUCACGAGGCUUUGUCUUUGUCGCUACGUGCCAAUCAGUAUCUAUGGAAUCUUGGACAUAAAAUACUUGUUCAGCUUGUGAGGCAAGUAUGAGAGUAUCCCCAUCACAUAUGAGUUUCUUAAAGUUNACUGAUACGAAACCA